UUGACUUGUUUUCUGGGACUCUGAGAUGCCACGCUGCAGAGACAGAGUAGGGGGCCGCCGGCGGGCGCAGCGCCCGGCGCGGAGGCCGGGCACCCGCCGAGGCAACGUUUCGGUAGGUUCACAGGGUUGUGGGAUCUUGCGAUUCCAGUAAUGAUCCCUCCGCUGGUUCACCAACGGAGA
rnacentral:misc_RNA from 1 species